rnacentral:miRNA from 2 species
CUGUUACUGUUCUUCUGAUGG